rnacentral:rRNA from 1 species
CUACGGGGGGCUGCAGUGAGGAAUUUUGCGCAAUGGGGGAAACCCUGACGCAGCAACGCCGCGUGCGGGAUGACGGCCUUCGGGUUGUAAACCGCUUUCAGUAGGGAAGAAACCAUGACGGUACCUACAGAAGAAGCCCCGGCUAACUACGUGCCAGCAGCCGCGGUAAUACGUAGGGGGCAAGCGUUAUCCGGAUUCAUUGGGCGUAAAGCGCGCGUAGGCGGCGCGCCAAGCAAAACCUCUAACCUCAGGGCUCAACCUUGAGCCGGGUUUUGAACUGGCGUGCCGAGUUCGGUAGAGGCAGGCGGAAUUCCCGGUGUAGCGGUGGAAUGCGCAGAUAUCGGGAAGAACACCGAUGGCGAAGGCAGCCUGCUGGGCCGUAACUGACGCUGAGGUGCGAAAGCUAGGGGAGCGAACAGGAUUAGAUACCACAGUAGUC